rnacentral:rRNA from 1 species
UCCUACGGGAGGCAGCAGUGAGGAAUAUUGGUCAAUGGACGCGAGUCUGAACCAGCCAAGUAGCGUGCAGGAUGACGGCCCUAUGGGUUGUAAACUGCUUUUAUACAGGGAUAAAGUAGGGAACGUGUUCCCUUUUGCAGGUACUGUAUGAAUAAGGACCGGCUAAUUCCGUGCCAGCAGCCGCGGUAAUACGGAAGGUCCGGGCGUUAUCCGGAUUUAUUGGGUUUAAAGGGAGCGCAGGCCGGAGGUCAAGCGUGACGUGAAAUGUAGGGGCUCAACCUUUGAAUUGCGUCGCGAACUGGCUUUCUUGAGUGAGUACGACGUCAGCGGAAUUCGUGGUGUAGCGGUGAAAUGCUUAGAUAUCACGAAGAACCCCGAUUGCGAAGGCAGCUGACGAGUCCUUAACUGACGCUAAAGCUCGAAGGUGCGGGUAUCGAACAGGAUUAGAUACCCUGGUAGUCC